GGACUACACGGGUAUCUAAUCCUGUUUGAUCCCCACGCUUUCGUGCCUCAGCGUCAAUAAUACCAUAGUAAGCUGCCUUCGCAAUCGGUGUUCUGUGACAUAUCUAUGCAUUUCACCGCUACUUGUCACAUUCCGCCUACUUCUAGUAUAUUCAAGUUCAUCAGUAUCAAAGGCACUGCGACAGUUAAGCUGCCGUCUUUCACCCCUGACUUAAUAAACCGCCUACGCACCCUUUAAACCCAAUAAAUCCGGAUAACGCUUGGAUCCUCCGUAUUACCGCGGCUGCUGGCAC
rnacentral:rRNA from 2 species